AUAUUUGACAAUGGGGGCAACCCUGAUCCAGCCAUGCCGCGUGUGUGAAGAAGGUCCUCGGAUUUUAAAGCACUUUAAGUUGGGAGGAAGGGCUUUAGGCUAAUACCCUGAAGUUUUGACGUUACCAACAGAAUAAGCACCGGCUAACUCUUUGCCAGCAGCCGCGGUAAAUAAGGGGGGGCAAGCGUUAAUCGGAAUUACUGGGCGGAAAGCGCGCGUAGGUGGUUCAGUAAGAUUGGUGUGAAAACCCCGGGCUUAAACUGGGAACUGCUUUCAUAACUGCUGAGCUAGAGUACGGUAGAGGGUAGUGGAAUUUCCUGUGUAGCGGUGAAAUGCGUAGAUAUAGGAAGGAACACCAGUGGCGAAGGCGACUACCUGGACUGAUACUGACACUGAGGUGCGAAAGCGUGGGGAGCAAACA
rnacentral:rRNA from 1 species